rnacentral:rRNA from 1 species
GACGUAGGGCGCGAGCGUUGUCCGGAUUUAUUGGGCGUAAAGAGCUCGUAGGCGGCUUGUCGCGUCGAAUGUGAAAUCUCAGGGCUCAACUCUGACAUUGCAUUCGAUACGGGCAGGCUAGAGUUCGGUAGGGGAGACUGGAAUUCCUGGUGUAGCGGUGAAAUGCGCAGAUAUCAGGAGGAACACCGGUGGCGAAGGCGGGUAGCUGGGCCGACACUGACGCUGAGGCGCGAAAGCCAGGGGAGCGAACGGG